rnacentral:rRNA from 1 species
GACGAACGCUGGCGGCGCGCCUAACACAUGCAAGUCGAACGGAGCACACUUGAACGAUUCUUUCGGGAUGAGUUUGGGUGUUGCUUAGUGGCGAACGGGUGAGUAACACGUGAGUAACCUGCCCUUAAGUGGGGGACAACAUUUGGAAACAGAUGCUAAUGCCGCAUAAGACCACGAAGCCGCAUGGCUUUGGGGCCAACGGAGCAAUUCGCUUUUGGAUGGACUCGCGUCUGAUUAGCUAGUUGGUGGGGUAAUGGCCCACCAAGGCAACGAUCAGUAGCCGGACUGAGAGGUUGAACGGCCACAUUGGGACUGAGACACGGCCCAGACUCCUACGGGAGGCAGCAGUGGGGGAUAUUGCACAAUGGGCGAAAGCCUGAUGCAGCGACGCCGCGUGAGGGAAGAAGGUUUUCGGAUUGUAAACCUCUGUCUUCGGGGACGAUAAUGACGGUACCCGAGGAGGAAGCCACGGCUAACUACGUGCCAGCAGCCGCCGCGG